AAUUCUAGUCUUAUCGGUGGAUCACUCGGCUCGUGGGUCGAUGAAGAACGCAGCCAACUGCGAUAAGUAGUGUGAAC
rnacentral:rRNA from 1 species